rnacentral:rRNA from 1 species
UACGGAGGGUGCGAGCGUUGUUCGGAAUCACUGGGCGUAAAGGGCGCGUAGGCGGCUCGGGAAGUCCGUGGUGAAAGCCCGAGGCUCAACUUCGGGUCGGCCAUGGAUACUCCUAAGCUCGAGUCGACUAGAGGCUAAUGGAAUUCCGGGUGUAGCGGUGGAAUGCGUAGAGAUCCGGAAGAACACCGGUGGCGAAGGCGGUUAGCUGGGGUCGGACUGACGCUGAGGCGCGAAAGCGUGGGGAGCAAACAGG